AACACAGAUUCUUUUUGUAAUGGCCUUUACUAGUCUGUAGCUUUGUGAGCCCUGGGAGCUAACACCAAGGACCACAGUCUCAUCCACAGAGACAAGGGCUUCAAGGACAGAGCAAGGGCUGCCCUCAAGUGGCUUGGUGGGCACUGGGCAUUGCCAAUGGGACCAGGUGGAAAACAUCAAGGGUCUGUUGGUCUUUUUAAAGCAGUGAAUAUUUUCUUCUGUUUUGAAGAACUUUUCUGCGCAUGGGAGAAGAGGCAUGCCACACAGGAGAUGGGUUUUUGUUGGUUCGCUGGGAUUGGGCAAUGUUUCCCAAACUCGCAUUCCGUGGAGCAAGGCUCUGCAGUCAUAAGAAAUACUGAGGAACAACAAGGACAAGAAAGUAUUCCAUGAUCAGGUCAUGCAGUGAAAUGCUGGUUUCUAAAAAAGCAGGAAGAGUUGCUUAUUAUGUAUCUUCAAGAAUCUUUUAUAUACCACUGUGUUUUAUGAAUGUCUAAUGAAGAGAAUUUAGCAUGGUUCUCAAAUGCAUUUAACUCGAGGAAACUUUUCUCCUAAAAACAUUUUAACAUCUCUUGAACUAACGUUCUGCAGGGAGGGGAAGGGAAAGUAGGAAGGAAGAGGAGAGAAGAGAAAAGAGAAGAAGCAGGAUGUGGAUUUACAAACACACACACUGGCCAAGGUGACGCCACCAGAGCCCUCCUCUCCUGGUCUUGUGUUUCCUGUCCCCUCCUGCCACCCACACACACUGCCCACUUCUGCACAGUGGACAGAAGCACUUCACAGGUCCCCUGUAUAGUUUCUCAACAGCUACAAGUUCCCAUCAAUGUUUCUGCUUGUUCAUCAUAGAUUAUUCCAGAAUUUAAUGGGAUAAUUCAAAGUUUUCUCAUUUUUUUAACGUUUAUUUUUGAGAGAGAGACAGAGUGUGAGUGGGGGAGGGACAGAGAGAGAGGGAGACACAGAAUCCAA